rnacentral:rRNA from 1 species
GAUGAACGCUGGCGGCGUGCCUAAUACAUGCGAGUCGAGCGAAUGGAUUAAGAGCUUGCUCUUAUGAAGUUAGCGGCGGACGGGUGAGUAACACGUGGGUAACCUGCCCAUAAGACUGGGAUAACUCCGGAAACCGGGGCUAAUACCGGAUAACAUUUUGAACCGCAUGGUUCGAAGUUGAAAGGCGGCUUCGGCUGUCACUUAUGGAUGGACCCGCGUCGCAUUAGCUAGUUGGUGAGGUAACGGCUCACCAAGGCAACGAUGCGUAGCCGACCUGAGAGGGUGAUCGGCCACACUGGGACUGAGACACGGCCCAGACUCCUACGGGAGGCAGCAGUAGGGAAUCUUCCGCAAUGGACGAAAGUCUGACGGAGCAACGCCGCGUGAGUGAUGAAGGCUUUCGGGUCGUAAAACUCUGUUGUUAGGGAAGAACAAGUGCUAGUUGAAUAAGCUGGCACCUUGACGGUACCUAACCAGAAAGCCACGGCUAACUACGUGCCAGCCGCCGCGGUAA